ACAUUUUACAGGUAGGAGGGGAUGUAUCUUAACUGCCAUGUUUUACAAUGCACAAGACAGUUUACUUCCAAUUUACGUUUUCCUUUUACAAUAUGCUUAGGGCCUAUUUUGUUUACCACCAUACAGAAACAAAUCAAGUGUAUAGAAUAGACCAUUAAAAGAAAAACUCUGACUACAUUAUUUUUCUCUAUUCUUUUGAUUGUUAUCCAAUAAAUUGUUUGACGUGCUACCAGUCUUAUCACAAGGAGGAAAACGUUAGAAUCAAUAACUAACAACCGUUAUCUUUAUUGUACAGUAUGUUUACAUUCAUACUCUCAGUACACACAGAGAGGUCUACCUGAUAAGACUUGUACAUACUGAUUACCGACUUACGAGAUUCUACCAUGUGGAGGGCGGUUCUUGUUGUCUUAUUAGGCCUACUUCUGAGCCAACAAGUAUCCUGUCUGCCCCGGCCGGUAGCCGUACCAUCGCCUUCUGGCCGAGCCGACCCUGCCAUUUCCGCAUAUUACGCCCCUGCAGGCCCUGCUCCGGGACAUAAUUAUGAAGAAGAGCUUUUCUUGAGAAUGGGAAUAUAGUUUUAGUUAUUUUUUAACUUAUAACAGUUAAUAAUAAAUACUGUUGUAUUA